rnacentral:lncRNA from 1 species
UCUCCGUAUCUCCGGUGCCUAGCAGAGUUGAUUUUUUUUUAAAUGACAAUUUUGGAACGGUCAUCAUAUGCCAGAGUUUGUGCUAAGAGCUCCAUGUAUAUUACAUCAUGCACUCCUGCAGCAACUUUUAUCCCCAUUUUAAAGGUAAGGAAAUCGAGGCCCAGAGAGUUUAAAAUUGCCCAACAUCAUACAGAAAGUACAGAGUAGGGAUUCACACCCAGGUCUGUUGGAUUUCAGGGCCUCUGCAUAUUAACACUACACCAUUCAACCAUGGUCAUUGGAGGACAACGUAUGCUUGGUGAAUAAAUAAAUGGUACAAAUGAAUGAAUGAAUGAGUGAAUGAAAGAACACAGAAUGGUGUUUUCUGGGGCUGUACAUGUCCAGCCUGAGUGACCAGUUGUACGCUGGCCCAGAUUUAUUAGGUGGGAGGUGAUUGUAAAGUGUGUUAAGAAUGAAGAAUAGCAUGCUCUGGUUUUGGAAUGCCAAAAAAAAAAAAAAAAAAAAAAAAAGCCCAGAAUUUAUGGGCCAGUGGAAGUAAGAAAGGAGACAAACAUUGAAGAUGGCAUUUUGCUUCCUGUACCCCAGCUGCCUCCAAAGGAUUAACUUCUUGAGAGCAGGGCCUGCUUUGUGUCCUCACUUUAUAAUCCUGCUCCUGGCAAAAAGUGGGUGCUCAGUGAAUGCCCACACAAUUCAGUCAUCAAAUCUGAGCUUAUUCCUUUUAUUCAUUGGUUCAUGGUAGGCUUGGUUCAGAGCUUGGUUUCACUGUCUACUUCUGCACAGGGCUUCAUCCUGCCAGCACUCAAUGGAGAAACGUGGGCCCCGGCACAGUGGGAACGACCCUCUUCUGGGCCUUGGUUCCCUCUACUAUAAAAUCCAACUUGUUAGACUGGAUUCUUGGAAGUCCUUCUUGAUGCGACAUUUGCCAGCCUAGGUCCAGCCAGGGGUGGGGCUUGCAGACCCAGCUCUCUGAGACACAAUUGCAGGUCUUCCUGAAGGGGAGGGGGCCAUUACAAACACUGUCCUCACGCCUCCAGCAGGUGACUCCUGGCACAGCUGGGAGAGUGAGCUGCUUCUUCUGCUCAGACAGCAGGCCUAGGAAAUUAUUCAGGAAUAACAAACAGGCCAGAAACAUUUGCAUAAGGAAUCACACAGAACAAUGCUUGUUAUUUAAACCAUCUCUGGUUGGCAACAGAAGCAAAAAGCAGCUGAGAUAAAUCUGCAAUGCAAAUCAGCCUUAUUUGGAGCGGAGCCUCAGCUUGUUUUGGGGGUGGGGGUGUUGCAAGAGACUGGGAGAACAGAAAGCAUCAUUGUUUCUAUGUACCCCCACUUCCCAACAACACUUUUCUCCGCCUGCCCUUCUCCUGCUCACGUACAUUUUCUCAUUUCUCAGCUUCCCUCCCUUCUUCAGAGAUUAAUGGAAACAAUUUGUCUUCUAAUGUGACUACAGCUUAUGAAUUCUUUGUCUCACUCUAAUCCUUUAAAUUAUCCACAUAAUAAAAUAUGUAUCCA